rnacentral:rRNA from 1 species
AGAUUCCGGAGAGGGAGCCUGAGAAACGGCUACCACAUCUAAGGAAGGCAGCAGGCGCGUAAAUUACCCAAUUCUGACACAGAGAGGUAGCGACAAGAAAUAACAAUACAAGGCACUUCGUGUUUUGUAAUUGGAAUGAGUAGAAAGUAAAAUUUUCUACGAGAACCAAUUGGAGGGCAAGUCUGGUGCCAGCAGCCGCGGUAAUUCCAGCUCCAAUAGCGUAUAUUAAAGUUGUUGCAGUUAAAAAGCUCGUAGUUGAAUUUCUGUCACUUGCAGCUGGUAUAUCUUAACCGAUAUUAUUCAGAGUGCUGUGGCAUUUUUCUACUUUGCGUCAUUUAUGGCGUAUUAGUAGAUCUUUUACUUUGAGUAAAUUAGAGUGUUUCAAGCAAGUUAUCACUU